GAUGAACGCUGGCGGCGUGCCUAAUACAUGCAAGUCGAGCGAACAGGCGAGGAGUUUGCUCCUUCGACGUUUGCGGCGGGCGGGUGUGUAACACGUAGGUCACCCCCCUAUAAGACUGGGAUAACUUCGGGAAACCGGCGCUUAUCCCGGAUAAUAUUUCGAACCGCAUGGUUCGAUAGUGAAAGAUGGCUUUGCUAUCACUUAUUGAUGCUCCUUGGCCGUAUUAGCUAGUUGGUGAGGUAACGGCUUACCAAGGCAACGAUACGUAGCCGACCUGAGAGGGGGAUCGGCCACACUGGAACUGAGACACGGUCAAGACUCCUACGGGAGGCAGAAGUAGGGAAUCUUCCGAAAUGGGGGAAAGCCUGACGGAGAAACGCCGCGUGAGUGAUGAAGGUCUUCGGAUCGUAAAACUCUGUGAUUAGGGAAGAACAAACGUGUAAGUAACUGUGCACGUCUUGACGGUACCUAAUCAGAAAGCCACGGCUAGCUACGUG
rnacentral:rRNA from 1 species